GCCAAUGGUUUCACUGGACUGGCUGCCUCUCGUCUCAUUAGUUCUGAGAAAAGGAGCAGCCCUAGGCCUGGCUAAAACACGGAGGGGAGAUCGCCUGGGAAUUCAGGAAGCUAAAGGCA
rnacentral:rRNA from 1 species